UGGCGAACGGGUGAGUAAUAUAUCGGAACGUACCCAAGAGUGGGGGAUAACGUAGCGAAAGUUACGCUAAUACCGCAUACGAUCUAAGGAUGAAAGCAGGGGAUCUUCGGACCUUGUGCUCCUGGAGCGGCCGAUAUCUGAUUAGCUAGUUGGUGAGGUAAAGGCUCACCAAGGCCACGAUCAGUAGCUGGUCUGAGAGGACGACCAGCCACACUGGAACUGAGACACGGUCCAGACUCCUACGGGAGGCAGCAGUGGGGAAUUUUGGACAAUGGGCGAAAGCCUGAUCCAGCAAUGCCGCGUGAGUGAAGAAGGCUUUCGGGUUGUAAAGCUCUUUUGUCAGGGAAGAAACGGUUUGGGCUAAUACCCUGAGCUAAUGACGGUACCUGAAGAAUAAGCACCGGCUAACUACGUGCCAGCAGCCGCGGUAAUACGUAGGGUGCAAGCGUUAAUCGGAAUUACUGGGCGUAAAGCGUGCGCAGGCGGUUUUGUAAGUCUGACGUGAAAUCCCCGGGCUCAACCUGGGAAUUGCGUUGGAGACUGCAAGGCUAGAAUCUGGCAGAGGGGGGUAGAAUUCCACGUGUAGCAGUGAAAUGCGUAGAGAUGUGGAGGAACACCGAUGGCGAAGGCAGCCCCCUGGGUCAAGAUUGACGCUCAUGCACGAAAGCGUGGGGAGCAAACAGGAUUAGAUACCCUGGUAGUCCACGCCCUAAACGAUGUCUACUAGUUGUCGGGUUUUAAUUAACUUGGUAACGCAGCUAACGCGUGAAGUAGACCGCCUGGGGAGUACGGUCGCAAGAUUAAAACUCAAAGGAAUUGAC
rnacentral:rRNA from 1 species